CUGGGGGGGUGAGGCGAUCGCCGGCGUAACAACGCGGGAGGAAAGUCCGAACUCCAUAGGGCAGGAUGCCGGGUAACUCCCGGUGGGGGUAACCCCAAGGAAAGUGCCACAGAAAAUAUACCGCCUCCCGAAAGGGGGGUAAGGGUGAAAUGGCGAGGUAAGAGCUCACCGGUUCUCGUGGUAACACGUGAGCCUGGUAAACCCCAUCCGGAGCAAGACCAAAUAGGGAAGCGUUAAGGAUGGCCCGUCCGAUGCUUCCGGGUAGGUCGCUCGAGACGGCGGGAGACCGUCGUCCUAGACGAAUGAUCGCCACCCGAUUUGUCGGGAACAGAAUUCGGCUUACCGCCCCCCCGGACUC
rnacentral:RNase_P_RNA from 1 species